rnacentral:rRNA from 1 species
UACGUAGGGUGCAAGCGUUAAUCGGAAUUACUGGGCGUAAAGCGUGCGCAGGCGGCCAGGUAGGUCUGCUGUGAAAACUCGAGGCUCAACCUCGAGACGUCGGCGGAAACCAUCUGGCUAGAGUCCGGAAGAGGAGAGUGGAAUUCCUGGUGUAGCGGUGAAAUGCGCAGAUAUCAGGAAGAACACCCGUGGCGAAGGCGGCUCUCUGGGACGGUACUGACGCUGAGACGCGAAAGCGUGGGGAGCGAACAGG